UAAACGGCCGCGGUAUCCUAACCGUGCAAAGGUAGCGUAAUAACUUGUCUUUUAAAUAAAGACUAGCAUGAAUGGCUAAAUGAGGACCUAACUGUCUUCUAAGACCAAUCAAUGAACCUGAUCUUUCAGUACAAAAGCUGAAAUCACAACAUAAGACGAGAAGACCCUGCGGAGCUUUAAAAACCCCACUUUUUAAGUUGGGGCGACUACGGAAAUAAAAAAAACCUCCACGACAGGACUGACAAUCCAAAAAAGGAAUCACACACCAACUAAGCUGACCAACGAACCAAGUUACCCCAGGGGUAACAGCGCCAUCCUCUUCAAGAGCCCCUAUCGCCAAGAGGGUUUACGACCUCGAUGUUGGAUCAGGACCCCCUAGUGGCGCAGCCGCUACUAAAGGCUCGU
rnacentral:rRNA from 1 species